UACGUAGGGUGCAAGCGUUAAUCGGAAUUACUGGGCGUAAAGCGUGCGCAGGCGGUUGUGUAAGACAGAUGUGAAAUCCCCGGGCUCAACCUGGGAACUGCAUUUGUGACUGUAGAGCUGGAGUGCGGCAGAGGGGGGGUAGAAUUCCACGUGUAGCAGUGAAAUGCGUAGAGAUCGGAAAGAACACCAACGGCGAAAGCACUCUGCUGGGCCGACACUGACACUGAGAGACGAAAGCUAGGGGAGCGAAUGGG
rnacentral:rRNA from 1 species